rnacentral:rRNA from 1 species
GACGAACGCUGGCGGCGUGCUUAACACAUGCAAGUCGAACGGAGUGGCGAACGGGUGAGUAACACGUGGGUGACCUGCCCUGCACUUCGGGAUAAGCCUGGGAAACUGGGUCUAAUACCGGAUAGUGUGGGAUGGGCCCGCGGCCUAUCAGCUUGUUGGUGGGGUAAUGGCCUACCAAGGCGGCGACGGGUAGCCGGCCUGAGAGGGUGGACGGCCACAUUGGGACUGAGACACGGCCCAGACUCCUACGGGAGGCAGCAGUGGGGAAUAUUGCACAAUGGGCGGAAGCCUGACCCAGCAACGCCGCGUGAAGGAAGACGGUCUUCGGAUUGUAAACUUCUUUAGACAGGGACGCGGUACCUGUAGAAUAAGCCACGGCUAACUACGUGCCAGCAGCCGCGGUAAUAC